AGCGAACGCUGGCGGCAUGCCUAACACAUGCAAGUCGAACGAGACCUUCGGGUCUAGUGGCGCACGGGUGCGUAACGCGUGGGAACCUGCCCUUAGGUUCGGAAUAACUCCCCGAAAGGGGUGCUAAUACCGGAUAAUGUCUUCGGACCAAAGAUUUAUCGCCUUUGGAUGGGCCCGCGUUGGAUUAGCUAGUUGGUAGGGUAAAAGCCUACCAAGGCGACGAUCCAUAGCUGGUCUGAGAGGAUGAUCAGCCACACUGGGACUGAGACACGGCCCAGACUCCUACGGGAGGCAGCAGUGGGGAAUAUUGGACAAUGGGCGAAAGCCUGAUGCAGCAAUGCCGCGUGAAUGAUGAAGGCCUUAGGGUUGUAAAGCUCUUUUACCCGGGAUGAUAAUGACAGUACCGGGAGAAUAAGCCCCGGCUAACUCCGUG
rnacentral:rRNA from 1 species